rnacentral:rRNA from 1 species
AGUCGAAGGUGAACCGGAGCUUGCUCUGUGGGAUCAGUGGCGAACGGGUGAGUAACACGUGAGCAACCUGCCCCUGACUCUGGGAUAAGCGCUGGAAACGGCGUCUAAUACUGGAUAUGUGACGUGACCGCAUGGUCUGCGUUUGGAAAGAUUUUUCGGUUGGGGAUGGGCUCGCGGCCUAUCAGCUUGUUGGUGAGGUAAUGGCUCACCAAGGCGUCGACGGGUAGCCGGCCUGAGAGGGUGACCGGCCACACUGGGACUGAGACACGGCCCAGACUCCUACGGGAGGCAGCAGUGGGGAAUAUUGCACAAUGGGCGAAAGCCUGAUGCAGCAACGCCGCGUGAGGGAUGACGGCCUUCGGGUUGUAAACCUCUUUUAGCAGGGAAGAAGCGAAAGUGACGGUACCUGCAGAAAAAGCGCCGGCUAACUACGUGCCAGCAGCCGCGGUAAUACGUAGGGCGCAAGCGUUAUCCGGAAUUAUUGGGCGUAAAGAGCUCGUAGGCGGUUUGUCGCGUCUGCUGUGAAAUCCCGAGGCUCAACCUCGGGCCUGCAGUGGGUACGGGCAGACUAGAGUGCGGUAGGGGAGAUUGGAAUUCCUGGUGUAGCGGUGGAAUGCGCAGAUAUCAGGAGGAACACCGAUGGCGAAGGCAGAUCUCUGGGCCGUAACUGACGCUGAGGAGCGAAAGGGUGGGGAGCAAACAGGCUUAGAUACCCUGGUAGUCCACCCCGUAAACGUUGGGAACUAGUUGUGGGGUCCAUUCCACGGAUUCCGUGACGCAGCUAACGCAUUAAGUUCCCCGCCUGGGGAGUACGGCCGCAAGGCUAAAACUCAAAGGAAUUGACGGGGACCCGCACAAGCGGCGGAGCAUGCGGAUUAAUUCGAUGCAACGCGAAGAACCUUACCAAGGCUUGACAUAUACGAGAACGGGCCAGAAAUGGUCAACUCUUUGGACACUCGUAAACAGGUGGUGCAUGGUUGUCGUCAGCUCGUGUCGUGAGAUGUUGGGUUAAGUCCCGCAACGAGCGCAACCCUCGUUCUAUGUUGCCAGCACGUAA